AACGUAGGAGACAAACGUUAUCCGGAGUUACUGGGCGUAAAGGGCGUGUAGGCGGUUUGUUAAGUCUGGCGUGAAAGCUCUCGGCUAAACCGGGAGAGGUCGUUGGAUACUGGCAAACUAGAGGACGGUAGAGGCGUGUGGAAUUCCGGGUGUAGUGGUGAAAUGCGUAGAGAUCCGGAGGAACACCAGUGGCGAAGGCGACACGCUGGGCCGUACCUGACGCUAAAGCGCGACAGCAUGGGGAGCAAACGGG
rnacentral:rRNA from 2 species